rnacentral:rRNA from 1 species
GACGAACGCUGGCGGCGUGCUUAACACAUGCAAGUCGAACGGAAAGGCCCUGCUUUUGUGGGGUGCUCGAGUGGCGAACGGGUGCGUAACACGUGAGUAACCUGCCCUUGACUUUGGGAUAACUUCAGGAAACUGGGGCUAAUACCGGAUAGGAGCUCCUGCUGCAUGGUGGGGGUUGGAAAGUUUCGGCGGUUGGGGAUGGACUCGCGGCUUAUCAGCUUGUUGGUGGGGUAGUGGCUUACCAAGGCUUUGACGGGUAGCCGGCCUGAGAGGGUGACCGGCCACAUGGGGACUGAGAGACGGACCAGACUCCUACGGGAGGCAGCAGGGGGGAAUAUGGCACAAUGGGCGGAAGCCUGAUGCAGCAACGCCGCGUGCGGGAUGACGGCCUUCGGGUUGUAAACCGCUUUCGCCUGUGACGAAGCGUGAGUGACGGUAAUGGGUAAAGAAGCACCGGCUAACUACGUG